rnacentral:rRNA from 1 species
UACGUAGGGGGCAAGCGUUGUCCGGAAUUAUUGGGCGUAAAGAGCGUGUAGGCGGUCCGGUAAGUCCGCUGUGAAAUCUCGAGGCUCAACUUCGAGCUGUCGGUGGAAACUGUCUGGCUAGAGUCCGGAAGAGGAGAAUGGAAUUCCUGGUGUAGCGGUGAAAUGCGCAGAUAUCAGGAAGAACACCCGUGGCGAAGGCGGUUCUCUGGGACGGUACUGACGCUGAGACGCGAAAGCGUGGGGAGCGAACAGG